rnacentral:rRNA from 1 species
GACGAACGCUGGCGGCGUGCUUAACACAUGCAAGUCGAACGGAAAGGCCCUGCUUUUGUGGGGUGCUCGAGUGGCGAACGGGUGAGUAGCACGUGAGUAACCUGCCCUUGACUUUGGGAUAACUUCAGGAAACUGGGGCUAAUACCGGAUAGGAGCUCCUGCUGCAUGGUGGGGGUUGGAAAGUUUCGGCGGUUGGGGAUGGACUCGCGGCUUAUCAGCUUGUUGGUGGGGUAGUGGCUUACCAAGGCUUUGACGGGUAGCCGGCCUGAGAGGGUGACCGGCCACAUUGGGACUGAGAUACGGCCCAGACUCCUACGGGAGGCAGCAGUGGGGAAUAUUGCACAAUGGGCGGAAGCCUGAUGCAGCAACGCCGCGUGCGGGAUGAUGGCCUUCGGGUUGUAAACCGCUUUCGCCUGUGACGAAGCGUGAGUGACGGUAAUGGGUAAAGAAGCACCGGCUAACUACGUG